AGUGAACGCUGGCGGUAGGCCUAACACAUGCAAGUCGAACGGCAGCACAGUAAGAGCUUGCUCUUACGGGUGGCGAGUGGCGGACGGGUGAGGAAUACAUCGCAAUCUACUUUUUCGUGGGGGAUAACGUAGGGAAACUUACGCUAAUACCGCAUACGACCUACGGGUGAAAGCAGGGGAUCUUCGGACCUUGCGCGAUUGAAUGAGCCGAUGUCGGAUUAGCUAGUUGGCGGGGUAAAGGCCCACCAAGGCGACGAUCCGUAGCUGGUCUGAGAGGAUGAUCAGCCACACUGGAACUGAGACACGGUCCAGACUCCUACGGGAGGCAGCAGUGGGGAAUAUUGGACAAAGGGCGCAAGCCUGAUCCAGCCAUACCGCGUGGGUGAAGAAGGCCUUCGGGUUGUAAAGCCCUUUUGUUGGGAAAGAAAAGCAGCAGGUUAAUACCCCGCUGUUCUGACGGUACCCAAAGAAUAAGCACCGGCUAACUUCGUG
rnacentral:rRNA from 1 species